GGAGCGGUGUCCGAGUGGUCGAAGGAGCACGCUUGGAAAGCGUGUAGGUAGGCAACUAUCUCGAGGGUUCAAAUCCCUCCCGUUCCG
rnacentral:tRNA from 1 species